GUACUGAUGACGAGUCCCAAAUUAGGGCGAAACAGCUGUCCAGUAC
rfam:Trichobilharzia regenti genome assembly, scaffold: TRE_scaffold0078642